rnacentral:rRNA from 1 species
UAGAGUUUGAUCAUGGCUCAGGACGAACGCUGGCGGCGUGCUUAACACAUGCAAGUGGAGCGACGAACCAGGGCUUGCCCUGGGGCAGAGCCGCGAACGGGUGAGUAAUACGUGGGUAACCUGCCCAGAUGACCGGGACAACCCGAGGAAACUCGGGCUAAUACCGGAUGUGCUGCUCUCACAUCAGUGAGAUCAGGAAAGGUAGCUUCGGCUUCCGCGUCUGGAUGGGCCCGCGGCGCAUUAGCUUGUUGGUGGGGUAACGGCCUACCAAGGCGACGAUGCGUAGCUGGUCUGAGAGGACGAUCAGCCACACUGGGACUGAGACACGGCCCAGACUCCUACGGGAGGCAGCAGUGGGGAAUCUUGCACAAUGCGCGAAAGCGUGAUGCAGCAACGCCGCGUGCGGGAAGACGGCCUUCGGGUUGUAAACCGCUUUCAGUUGGGACGAAGCCUGUGCGGUUAAUAGCCGUUGUGGGUGACGGUACCUUCAGAAGAAGCCCCGGCUAACUACGUGCCAGCAGCCGCG